GUUGCCAUACUGAGGAUUUAAAUCUUGUCUUUGCACUCAGCGAAGCCUUUGGCUCUGAUUACAGACCUGACAGCAGGGGGACACUAGGACCCAGGCACAAUUUGGCCAAGCAGGUUGAGAGCACCUGAACCAUUAAGAGGCUCAUGAAGCAGGUGUGUCAGCUUCACUCUUGCUCCUGUGCACAUGCUUCCUUGGGUCCUAACAGUCCAGAAGUAGAGGCAGUGGCAAGUGCUGCAGCUGUUGUUGGCCUCUGGUCACAGGAGCGGCUGGUGCAGUGGAAGUUCACCUGUUGUUUUGUGGUUAUCAUUUAAGCUUCUUCCAGUGAGGAUGUGAGAGAGCAGCGAGGACGGAGGAAUUUAAUCCACCAGAUGGGACAUCCUGGCUCACUCAGCAUCAUUUUGAGGAGACAACUACUUAUGACGCACAGAACCUCCACUGUCAAAUAUGAAGACGUCAGCUAUCAAAAUAUUAUGAAGAAAUUAAGAAACUGUUUAAACUCUGAAGUUUAAACAUAAAAUUCAUGUACUAUAAAUAACACUUUAAACUGUUACUUAAUAUUUUCUACAUGAUAGUUGAAAGGAAAACACCUGAUAACUGCUCCAAUGUUUUAUCAUCAUCAUCAUCAUUUGGCUGUGUCAGAGUGAGACACAAAUAGACAAUUUAAAUCUAUUAAUUACUGAAAGAACAGAACCGACGUAAAGAAGCGAUUAAAAACAUCUGUAGCCUGCAGAAUGUGUUUAAAUAAAAUGUUGCCUAUUUA